AUACGUAGGUGGCAAGCGUUGUCCGGAAUUAUUGGGCGUAAAGCGCGCGCAGGCGGUCCUUUAAGUCUGAUGUGAAAGCCCACGGCUCAACCGUGGAGGGUCAUUGGAAACUGGGGGACUUGAGUGCAGAAGAGGAAAGUGGAAUUCCAAGUGUAGCGGUGAAAUGCGUAGAGAUUUGGAGGAACACCAGUGGCGAAGGCGGCUUUCUGGUCUGUAACUGACGCUGAGGCGCGAAAGCGUGGGGAGCAAACAGGAUUAGAUACCCUGGUAGUCCACGCCGUAAACGAUGAGUGCUAAGUGUUAGGGGGUUUCCGCCCCUUAGUGCUGCAGCUAACGCAUUAAGCACUCCGCCUGGGGAGUACGGUCGCAAGACUGAAACUCAAAGGAAUUGACGGGG
rnacentral:rRNA from 1 species